AUUGAACGCUGGCGGCAGGCUUAACACAUGCAAGUCGAGCGGUAGCACAGGGGAGCUUGCUCCCUGGGUGACGAGCGGCGGACGGGUGAGUAAUGUCUGGGAAACUGCCUGAUGGAGGGGGAUAACUACUGGAAACGGUAGCUAAUACCGCAUAACGUCGCAAGACCAAAGAGGGGGACCUUCGGGCCUCUUGCCAUCAGCUUUGCCCAGAUGGGAUUAGCUAGUAGGUGGGGUAAUGGCUCACCUAGGCGACGAUCCCUAGCUGGUCUGAGAGGAUGACCAGCCACACUGGAACUGAGACACGGUCCAGACUCCUACGGGAGGCAGCAGUGGGGAAUAUUGCACAAUGGGCGCAAGCCUGAUGCAGCCAUGCCGCGUGUGUGAAGAAGGCCUUCGGGUUGUAAAGCACUUUCAGCGAGGAGGAAGGUGGUGAGCUUAAUACGUUCAUCAAUUGACGUUACUCGCAGAAGAAGCACCGGCUAACUCCGUG
rnacentral:rRNA from 1 species